AACAAACCCUACGCUCCUGGGGCUCUGGCCAGACCGGGACAGGAUGAGCUGGAUCAAUCUGGAAGGCCUUCCAAGAACAUCAGAUCAAUGCAGCAGGUUCUGGUGCCCACAGCUCUCAGCCUUCCUCCCAUUGCCAAGGUUCAGCUGCUGCUUCCUGAAAGGCUGGGCAGGGGCUGAGCCACAUGAAAGCACAGCCCAGUGUGGGGGUGAGUCCUCAGCCCCCUGUCCCAGCUCAAGGCCUCGGGCAGAGGAGUCCAGGAGAGAAUGAACAGAGACACCCACCGUGGAAAGCAGGGUGUGCUCAGGAAGCCUGUCCUGCCCCACAUCCAGGGAGCACAUCAUGAACAGCUGGCAGGAAAACGGAAGAACAAAUAGGGGAACACAGGACUCACACCACAGAAUGCUGGCCAGCAAUACCACAUAACACAGGUGAAUCUCAAGAAUACAAUGUUGAAAGAAGCCAGACAAACCAAGAAGCACCGGAUGGCUCCCAACAGGCAAAACUGAUCUGGGCUGUAAGAAGUUAGCACGCAAUCAUCCUUGGGGUGAGGUGGCUGGAAACCAUGGGAAGGGAACGAAGGGUGUUCAGAUGGGCCAGGGAGGUUCAGUUGUGACAAUUAGUCAAGCUGAACAUACACUGAUCUGUGCCCUUCUCUGUAUGCUUAUUACAUGUUGACAAAAGGUCUAAAGAAACUGGUAUUUAUCUCAGAAGUAGAUUUCUGUUUUCUUUUUAUCUGUUCUUUCUAUAAUUGCCACACCAAACAUACUUUAUUUUUCAAUGAAUGAAUAAGAUGACAACAAAUGCAGUUACUCAUUCAUCAAAAUUGUGCAGUGCAGGACACUGGAGGGCGGGAGUGUCCCUGCCCUGAAGGAGCUCAUAGUCUUGGUGGGGCUGAGGAAAGGAUGUGAGUACAACCAGCAUCUGUAAACAAGCAGGCACAAGGCCAUGGCCAGCCAGCAGCUGGGUAUUUCAUCUACCCAGCAGGGCCAGCUCUCCCCUGUUGUAUGUGUGCACAAACACACACACACACAAACACACACACACACAUUUCCUUCAGCUUUACCUAGAGUCAAAUCCAUCAUUAAUGUUACUUGCCUGUCCCUGUGCUUCUGAGAGACUCUCUGAAUUAGAUACUGUAAUAAGCACUGUCUUGUAAAAGAAAGAUGGAUGAAGAGCUAAAACAGAGGGAGCAAAACUGUAGGGGGGGGCCUGGGGGAUUGUGCUCUUGACAGGAAUACACAUAUGUGGUUAAUUUGCCACUCUAUAAAUAAAGCAAAGCUAAACCUAAGAAAACAGGAGGUGUAAUCUAAAUAUACAUGAAUAUUUAAAUUUAAAAAUUUUAUUAUAAUAAAAGACACAUUACUAUUAAUGCCCCUCAAAAUACUCCCCCUCACUUCAAACAUACUUAUUCCAUUAUUUUUGCCACUUUCUGAAGCAGUUCUGGAAAUCCUCUUUUGUGUCUUUGCAAGGUAUCAUCAAAAAUAAGUGAAUGAAAAAAAAAGUGAAUGUGCUUGCGAUGUGCCAUCUAAUGGAAAGGCAGGGUCAUAAAAACAUUAUAGUGUGUCCUCAUUGACCUUAUUCACUGAAUCUGGCACCAUGUGACUUCUGGUUCUUCCCCAAAGUCAAAAUGACCAUGAAAGGUAAACAUUUUGAGUUGAUUCAGAACAUCAAGGCAGCCACAAUGGUGCAACUAAAGGCACUCACAAAGGAGGGCUCCAGACCUGCUUCAGCCAGUGGCAAGAAUGAUGGAAUAAUUCUAGUGGUGAUGUGUCUUUUAUCAUCAUAAUAAAGUUUUUAAAUUUAAUGUUCAUCAGGUAUUUUGAUCACACUUCAUGUGUACAGGAUCUAUAUGAGGAAAACUACAAAAAUGAUGAACAAAAGAACUACAUAGAUGGAGAAAUAGCCCAUGUUCAUGGAUAGAAAGAAUCAAUAUUGUCAAGAUGUUGGUUCUUUCCAACUAGAUGCAGUUCUAAGUAAAAUCCCAGCAAGCUAUUUGUUGGAUAUGGACAAGCUGAUUCUAAAGUUUAUAUGAAAAGACAAAAGACAUAGAAUACUCAAUAUAAAAGGGAAAGAGAAGAACAGAGUCUAGGGCGGACACCACCAAACUUUAAGACUUAUUACUAUAGUAAUGAAGUCAGUAUGAUAUUGGAGAAAGAACAGACAAAUAGAUCAAUGGAACAAAACAGAGAGCCCAGAAAAACAGAUCUUCAUAAACAUAAUUAACUGAUCUUUGACAAAAGAGCAAAGACAACACAAAAGAGCAAAAAUAUUUUACUUUUUAGUAAACAGUGCUAGAACUGGACAUCCAUAUGGAAAAACACUGAUCUAGACACAGUCUUUUUGCUUUUUACAAAAAUUAACUAAAAAUGGAUAUAGACCUAAGUGUAAAAUGCAAAACUUUUAUCAAAUUCCUAGAAGAUAACAUAGGAGAAAGCCUACAAUAACCUUGGACAUGGUGAUGACAUUUUAAACACAGUACCAAAGACAUCAUCUAUGAAAGAACUGACUUCAUUAAAAUGAAAACAAAAAACUAAAGACAACAUCAAGAGAAGACCGGAAGAAAAUAUUUGCAAAAGACACAUCUGAUAAAAGACUUUUAUCCAAAAUAUACAAAGAAUUCUCAAUACUUAACAAUAAGAAAAUUUUCUGAUUUAAAAAUGGUUCACUGACCUUAAAAAGUAGAUGUACAGCAUAGACAAACAAGCAUAUGAGAAGAUACUCCACAUCAUGUCAUCAGGAAGACAUAAAUUAAAACAAUGGGAUACCAUGACACACCUGUAAAUUAGAAUGGCCCAAAUCCAGAACACUGACAACACCAAGUGCUGGUGAAGACAUGGAACAACAGGAACUUCAGUCAUUGUUGGUAGGAGUGCAGAAUGCUAUAGCCCUUUGGAAGACAGUGUAGCAGGCUCUAUCAAAACUAAACAUACUUGGGCCAGGGAUUUAGCUCAGUGGUUCCACCGCCUGCUUUGCAAGUCCAAGGUCCCAAGUUCGAUCCCAGGUACCAAAAAAAACCCUAAACAUACUCUUACCAUAUGAUCCAGCAAUUAUGCUCCCUAGCAUUUGUCCAAAGGAGUUGAACACUUAUGUUCACACAAAUACCUGCACAUAGAUAUGCAUAGCAAAACUUGGAAUUAACUAAGAUGUCCUUCAGAAGGUGAAUAGAAAAAGAAACUGUGGUACAUCCAGAUAAUGGAAUUUCAUUCAAAGAAAUGAACUAUCAAUGGGAGGGGGGCACACACAUGACAAAGUGAAAAGCCAGUCUGAAAGGCUUCCAUGGUAUGAUCCCAAGUAUAUCGCAUUCUGGAAAGGACAAAGUUUUGGGACAGUAAAACAAUGAAUGACUGCCAGGCACUGAGGGGUGGAGGGUGUGGAUAACUGGAGCACAGAGGAUUUUAAGACAGUGAAGCUACCCUGUGUGAUACUGAAAUGGUGGACAUGUAUCAUUUUACACUUGCCCAACUCAUAGACUACUUGAUGCUAAGGGCCAACCCUAACACAAACCACAGACUCUAGGUGAUUAUGAUGCAUCCUGUAAGUUCAUCAGUCCAUACAGAUGCAUCAAUUUGAUAAUGCUGUGAACCUAAAACUGCUCCAAAGAAGAAAUACAGUCUUUUAAAAAAGAAAAGAACUUCCAGACAUGUCAACAGGAGCCCUACUACUUAUGUGGGGCUCCAUGCAUACAUGCAGCACCUACUUGAGCAGGUGCCUUCCCAUCACUCUCUGGGUAGCUGAGAUUCUGUUUCUGGGUUCCUCCAAGACAGGAGAGGAGGGGUGAGGAACCAGAGACCUACAAACUCCUUGCAAGACCAACAGGCACAGUGUGGAAGUAUGUGCCUAGGCUUAGCUGGGCCUCAGUCUGGGAAGGAAGGUAAAGAGUCCCCAGGCAGGCAUCCUCCAUGAAGAGACCAGCCCUCUCCUCCCUUCCACACAGGUGCCAAGGAAACGGGGUGAUAGAGACAUCAAAAUCCCACCUUCGGGGUCCUGCAGGGACUGAAGUCUAUGCAGGGGUUGUCUACUACCUUCGGAUGGUGACUUUCUUUUGGUACAGGCCGAAUUGUGUCUACCAGUUUCUAUACUGAGGUCUUGAGCCCCAGUGCUUCAGAAUGUGACCAUUUUUAGAGAUAAGACCUUUAAAGAGAUAUUUAAGGUAAAAAUGAGAACAUUACAGUGGGCCUUGAUCCAGUCUGACUGGUGUCCUCACAAGAAGAGGAGAGAAAUACACAGACGUAUACAGAAGGAACAGAAGACACAGAAAAAUGACGGUUAUCUACAAGCUGAAGAGGGAUGCCUUAAAACCAUGUUGGUUCCUUGAUCUGACUUCCAACCUCUGAAUUAUGAGAAAACACACACACACACACAGACACAGACACACACACACACACACACACACACACACACACACAUCAAUGUUUUCUUCAUGGUUGGCCUUGGGCAGGGGGUUGAGACCUACAGAGAAGUGAUGCCCUAGGCUGGGUGAUGCCUAAGGGCCAACCCACCAGAUGACUAGGAGCCCACCAGAUAGACCAAGUAUGGAAAGCUGCUGUGAACAGGGAGAAUCACUCGGAACAGGGGGAAUAAUGCUGCCCUCUGGAAGCUGUGCUAUUUCAACAUAGUAGAUCUGGUAAUGAGCCACAAGGGAGAGUCAGCCAAGGUGAAACUGGACAGGUGAGCAGCAGCUACAAUGUACUAGGUGUCAGGCGCCUAUUUAUCUUCACUAAGCCCAACAACUCCAUUCUGCAGAUAGGAAAAUUAAGGCUCAGAGGUGAUGGCAUUGGUUUAGUGCAUAUGGCAGAGCUGGGAUUUGAACCCAGACAGAGUCUGACUCCAGAGCCACACUCUUCACCCUGAGAUUUCCCCUCCUCUCCCAUAGGAGAGCCAUAGGGCAGGCACUAGAGCACCCUGUCUCCUCUCACAGGUCUGCCUGCAGCUGCUGGCCUGGUCCUCAGCAGGCUCAGCAGUCAGAAAAGGAGGGAGCAGAGUUGAACUGGGAGAGCAGAGCAGGUGAGCUACAAAGCCAGUGCUGCAGGGCCCUGCUGGGAACAGCGGCAAACACCAGCUGCUCCAGCCAGCCUCGCCUUUCAUCUCUGCAGAAAAUGGAUGCUGCUCUGGGUCCCCUGAGAGCUCAAAGUUUGGGCUGAAGGCUUUCUGGAAAAAAAGCUCACUGUUGCAGGCAUCUCCACAGUCACCCUGGGUGAUGCCUGACACUUCACCGCAGCACUGGCUGACAAGCAUCUUCAAAGGACAGAAAUCGGCCGGCUUGCUGGCUUUUAUACAGUUGUCAUUCAUCCACAGGAAGCACUUUUCCCCGCGCAUUGUGAGAGUUAUUUUGGUUUGAGGAAGCCAACCUCAGUACAAAUCCAAGAAAGAAAUAAAAGAGGGGGGGGGAGCAACUCCGCCAAAAUUAGAAAAAGUGGUGUGUGGGUAAACUGCACACAAAACAAUCUUUUUCAAGAUGAUCUUUUUUGAGAUCAAAGAUAAUGGUGGGAGAAUUGUGCUGAGAACAUCAGCAGGUGCAGCAGGCUGCAGGGGGCAUGGAGAACUUUGCAGGUGUCUGCAGGCCACUUUUAAUAAGCGGGCAGAAUCCAUGGCCAAUGUGCCAGACUUGCUGGGCUACGGUACGACAGAGAAAGAAGAUGGAUGACUUCUGCUAGGGAGUCUCAAGUGGCUUCUGUGGGAACUUAUUUCUCAGGUGGAUUCUGAUAUGAACACAGCCAAGUCACUGACCAAAGGUUCCUACAGAGAGAGGAAGUUUCAAAUCCUUAGGGAAGUGGGCUUCCGCCAUGGCUCCAUCCUGGCAUACAGUGUGACCUCCCUCUGGCCCUUCAUUCUUUUUUUUUUUUUCCAGUACCAGGGAUCGAACUUAGGACCUUUUGCUUGUGAGGCAGUCACGGUGCCACUGAGCUAAAUCCCUGGCCUGUCCCCUUCAUUCUUAACAUCAUGUUCUUCAAGUAACAGGGCACAUGGAGCCGGGUGAUGGUUCACCUUUGUAAAAACUUGAUUGUGCAGAAUGGAGUGGCCAAGAAUUCCCAGACCCUUCCUUGGGGAGACAUAUUUAGGGAGGUGUUUCUGAUCUAGGUGAUAGAAACAAUCUGAAUGAGCUGAGACAAACAAACAAAAGGACCAAGGUGGGCUCCUAUAACCAAACUAUAAAGAAACAGGACAAAGUGGCCUCAGGGAUAAUUUAACCAGGCUCUGUCUCUCUCGGCCUCUCCAUGAAAGCUGGUUUUGCUGUAUCCCCAAGAAGCUAUCCAUAAACCUGACUAGAGAGAAAACAGAGAACUCUCUCUGUUCCAACUGAAAAAUCCCAGAGAAUUCUGAUUGAGUCAUGUGACAGCCCCUUAAACCAGUCACUGUGGUCAGAGGGAUGGGGUACUAGGAUUGACAGCUCCCUCCUCUCCCUGGGUCAAGUCACAUACCAGGAAGUAUGAAAGUCACUGCAGGAGUGGGGGUUGCAGAGCAGGCACCCCUAAGAUGCAUCUGCUACAUAAUGGCCCUUGCCCUUUGCCUGGUUUUGCUGUUUCAUGAGCAGCCAAGGCCCAUCCACUUCCCCAGCCUGACUUCUCCAAGUCCAUUAUCAUGGGAGGCCAACUCACAAUGGUCAUUCCAGUCACAAGCAGGAACACUCAUUGAAGACUCAGUGGCCUAGGUGCUCUACCAACUGCGCCCCCUGAAUGAUCUCACUAGACGCUUACAGGAAGCCCUCUGUCACCCCCAUCUUAGAGAUGAGGAAGCUAAUGCUCAGAGAGGUACAGGGGCUUGUGAAGAUGACAGCCUAAAAGAAGCAGAACUGGGAGUGGAACCUGAUUCCAGUGGAUUUCAAAGCCAGUGUUCUUAACCUGAACCUUGACACCAUUCUGACCCCCAGAGAAAAAACCUGGAGGGAGACAAGUCCCCCUAGAGUGGUACAGGAGGUUUACAUGCUGGGAUAGGGAGAGGUCCCCAGGUACACUGACCAUGGGCAGUGAAUUCUAGUAAAGACUCUUGCCCCUUGUAGAGAGUGAACACUCUCAUGCCUCACCCAGUGGGGUGCUGAACUGGACUCAAACUCCUGGCAAUAAGUAAGAUGGAGAGCCCCCAGGGCAGGGUAGUUUGUGGUCCCUAUGAGUGACUCUGACCUCAGGGUUAGUGACAAGUGUCUGGUCACCAGAGAAGCAGGGGGGCUGCCAGAUACUCUAAAGAAGAAGCAAAAACUCAACUUUUCUUUCAGUUCUGAGGACUUCUGUAUUGGGCAACACAGGAGGCAAUAUAACCUGAAAUGCCACUCCCAAACACCCUGAGAAGCUGCAUGGAGUGGACCAGCACCCUAGAUAUGUAGGUCAGCUCCAUGAGAAAGUAAGAGAAAUUCCCAAGGCCAAAACUAAAGAGGAAGUGCAAAAUUAGAGCACUAAGUAGGAGAACUGACACUUCCAUGCCCUCUGCACCAGAGGGAUGGCACAGGUGCCCAUCUCGGUAUUCAGGCAUCUUCUGCCACCUGCAUAACAGUGUGAGCCAGAGCACUUCUGUCCACUAAUACUAGAAAAAGACAUAGCUUGAUCAGUAUCAGCCUUAUUUCUAGACUAGAAAAUCAAAAAGAAGUCUCCCCUGCGAAUCUGUCCCCAUGGAGUUCAAAGUGAUACAGUACCGUCUCUGGCAUUCUGUGACUUGAGUGUGCAGCACAAUCACCUGCAUGGCUUGCUUGCUAAGCGAGGGACUCCUGGAUCCUGGCCCCACCCCUCAACCCCAAUUCCAAACUCAGUAGAUGUGGGUGGGAGCCUCAGAAUUUGCAUGUCAACAAAUUUCCAGGGAAUGCUGAGGCUGCUGGCCCAAGGACGACACUUUGAGAGCUACUGCUCCCAGCUAAGAAAUUAAUUUAAAAAUUUAUUCUCUCUUGGAACACUGCUGGACAUUAAGCAAAAGCAAAUACAAAAUCCCUCGAGCACAGGGGUGAAUAAUCUAUGACCUUUGAGCUAAAUCUCAUCUACCCAGGGGCCAGAUCCAGCCAUACUCAUUGGUUUAUGGCUGCUUUUGCACAAUGAAAGAGUCAAGCAGUUGCACAAGAGAGACUGUAUGUGGACUUCAAAUUCAAAAAUAUUUAUUAUUUGCUGACUUCUAGUUACUAGGAUCAAUGCAGGUCACACAGAAUUCCAGAGAUACAAUCCUACCUAAGGUGACCUCUCAAUCCAAAAGUACAAAACACACGAGGCACUACCAUGUGCAAGAAUCAACAGACACAAGAGCAGGAUCAGACUUAAGAACUUCAGACAAUGGAAUUAUAACACAUAACACUCUAAAAGCAAUGAUGGGGCAGAGUCUACACUUAGCAGUUCUUAGGUCUUCACCAAGAGUAAUGAUGAUGCCAUUUACUGAGUGCCUACUAUGUGCCAGACAGUGGGCCCAUUCUUUAUGUAGCUCAAUGCUUUUCUUUUCCACAUGAAGGUAUAAGCCUGAGGUCAGAGAGGGGUCUCCACUUGCCUAAGCCGACACAGCAAAUCCAAGGCAGAGCCAGGAUGAAACUCACACCCUGGGCUGAAACCAAGUUCUUGCAGUUUCCAAAUGCUAUGCCUCACUUCCACCCUAGAGCAAGGUGACCUGAAAUGGAAAUAAGGAGCUCUGAACUUAGGACACAUGGCUAGAUCUGGGGGAGUCUACAACCCCUUAAAACAAUAUGCAUAAUGCUGGAUGUCUCUAUCAGGUGUCUGAAGAGGAUUGGCAACUUUCAUCUGGUUCUCAAAGUCAAAGAACCAAAGCUAUCCAGACCCCAAUGCAAGCCUUCUGUUUAUUCUGUAACAGAAUUACAUUCAUAAACACAUCCUAAGGGUUUGCUUGUUUAAAUCCCACGUGGGUCCUACAAGAAGUUCUUUCAUCAGCCCACUUUACAGAUGAGAAAACUGAUGCCACACAGGCAUCAAAGAAUUUGCCUCGGGUCGCACAAUUAGCAAGUGCCAGACAGGGACCCCCAAGUCAAACUCUCUCACCUGCAGCCUUUCCACCUUCCAUGCAUCCUCUUGCUACCACCAGCAACCAGCCUUCGCGUUCAGGAUCUAGUCACACGUCUACACAGGCUAGAAGGCUCAGGGUCUUUCCUGCCCGCCUCCUAUGCCUACAAACAGGAGGCUCCUUCUACCCUGACUUUGGAAUGAUUCCCCUUUCCUAAUUCCAAUCUCCACAUCCAGAGGCUGUGCCCAAGGCCAGCCAAUGCAAACAGCCAUUUCUCAGAAAGUGCAUGUUCCGGGCGGGCCAGGGAUUUAGCUCAGUGGUUCUACUGCCUGCCUCGCAAAUGCAAGGACCCGAGUUCGAUCCCUGGCACCCCCCUAAAAAAAGAAAGUACAUGUUCCUCUGUUCCCCACCACCUUGCCUGCCACUGGCCCAGACACCAAGUACUUGCUUGGCUGGUGCCAUGCUCAGCAAUAGCUAAACAAUUUACCCAGUUUUUCAGAAUGAGCAAUAUUUACUCAAUAGCCCAGAAUGGCUCAUAUGGAACUAUUAAACCCCAUUGCCUCCGUCUGCAGCUCACAGUGCAAUAAUGAAUCAGUAUUUGGGAGCGAUUACGAUGCUAAUAAGAAUGUGUGAGGCACAAAAUAUCACGAAGCAAGGGUUGCCCCGGAAUCCCCUGAACUCCCAGCUCCCAUUCGGGAACCUCACCGCGCCAGACACCAUCCUGCCUGAGAGCUCUUGGCUCCCAGGGUGGCCACACUUGAUAUGAGAACAGAUGAGAGGCAAGAGCACAGAAUCUUGCAGAGUCCGGACCCCACCAUGCCAGCCUUUACCAGGCUUUGGAGGGGUGGGAGGCAAUGGUGGUCCCAUCCCAGCAGCCCCAAAAUCCCAGAACCCCCUUUUCUGGCAGGGCCUGGAGUGCUCACAAGGCAUUUCGUACACUCGCACAGAAGAAAAUACUUGUUCCCUCGGGCUGCGCGCCUGAAGCUAUGUUGGUUUUGAGUUGGAGUUUUUUGGGGGGGGUUGGAUCUUUUUCACAAGCCCCUAAAUAAAUAAUGAAUGGCAGAAAGGAAGCAUAUAUUUGAUAUUGUACCCACCCCACCCCCCGCAAUCUGCCCAAGGAAAGCACUUUUCUCCAGCCCCUACGCUGCCUUGCUGCAUCCCAGAGACUGACGGAUCUCUUGGAUGCCUGGAGAGGCCAAGCAUGCCAGUCUCGGCCCAGAGGACAGUGGUGGGAGAAGUUGAGCUUCCUCCUCUUGCCACUUCUCCCACCCCAAGCUCUAAGCCUUCAAGUCUCUCCAGUCCUCCUCCUUGUCCAUUCCUCAACCUCUGCAGCCACUGUUCCCCUCUGUCCAGGAUACAGAACUCAGCAGGGUCUGAACUGGCCCAAUCCAUCUCCCAGCCCGCCCACUUCAUUGUCCCUCCCGCUGUGAUCCAGCCACACUGGCUGCCUUUCGUGUCCUGGAACUACAGCUGCACCCUCCCACUUCAGGACCUUUGCACAAACUGCUUCCUUCCGCUGCCCGAACUGUGCUCUUUCCUGACAUCCACACUAAAUCUUGGUCCUGCUAUAUAAGUGCCGCAUUCCUCUGCAGCCAUUAGUAGGGUUUGUAAUUUCAAAUGUGUGUGAUUAUUUGAUUAAUGUCAGAGUCUUAGGGGGGAGGUUACUUCUAAGCAUCAACAGUACAAAGAGGGCACGGAGCACGUCCAUUUUUAUCCCUAAGGCACACUGGGGACAUGGCCCGGGCCUGGCACCUAGUAGAUGCUGGGUAAAAACUUGUGCAAUAGACCACUGGCGGGCUGAUCAGUGCAGGCCCUGGCCAAGCCUACCCGCUCUGCAUCCUCCAUGCCACAGCCUCUUUGCUGAGUUGGGCCUGCAUCUUACACAUGACAUUGUUUUAUGUACUGCAAAGUGCCAUGUUCACAUUACAAGGCCCAGAUAAAUAUUUAAUCAGCCUAAAACACCAUGAACCCUCAGUGAGGAUGGCCCUGUGCCCUCUCUUUGGUUUAGCUGAGUGUGGGUAUGAGGGUAUGUGUGUGAUGUGUAUGUGUGUGUGCAUGUGUGUGUGCAUGUGUGUGCGUGUGCAUUCAUCUGGACCUCCACACAAGAGCCCCACAUAUUACAGGCAGAGAAGUACCCACAUCCCAUUCAUUCCUGGGUUAAGUAAGAACCAACCACACUCGAGCUCCAGGGCAAGAGAAUG
rnacentral:lncRNA from 1 species